rnacentral:sRNA from 1 species
ACCUGAAAUGAAUUAGCUUGCGAAAUUGUGAGGUC